CCUACGGGUGGCAGCAGUGGGGAAUAUUGGGCAAUGGGCGCAAGCCUGACCCAGCAACGCCGCGUGAAGGAAGAAGGCUUUCGGGUUGUAAACUUCUUUUAAGAGGGAAGAGCAGAAGACGGUACCUCUUGAAUAAGCCACGGCUAACUACGUGCCAGCAGCCGCGGUAAUACGUAGGUGGCAAGCGUUGUCCGGAUUUACUGGGUGUAAAGGGCGUGCAGCCGGGAAGACAAGUCAGAUGUGAAAUCCCGCGGCUCAACCACGGAACUGCAUUUGAAACUGUUUUUCUUGAGUACCGGAGAGGUCAUCGGAAUUCCUUGUGUAGCGGUGAAAUGCGUAGAUAUAAGGAAGAACACCAGUGGCGAAGGCAGCAUGCCGGCUUCCUACUGACGCUGAAGCACGAAAGCGUGGGGAUCGAACAGGAUUAGAUACCCCAGUAGUC
rnacentral:rRNA from 1 species